rnacentral:rRNA from 1 species
CCCGCUGAACUUAAGCAUAUCAAUAAGCGGAGGAAAAGAAACUAACAAGGAUUCCCUCAGUAACGGCGAGUGAAGCGGGAAGAGCUCAAAUUUAAAAUCUGGCUUACUUGUAAGUCCGAGUUGUAGUCUGAAGAAACGUUUUCCAUAAGCACUGAGGCACAAGUCCCUUGGAACAGGGCAUCAUAGAGGGUGAGAAUCCCGUCCAUGGUCUCAAGUUGCUUAUUUUGUGAUACGUUUUCAAAGAGUCAGGUUGUUUGGGAAUGCAGCCUAAAAUGGGUGGUAAAUUUCAUCUAAAGCUAAAUAUUGGCGAGAGACCGAUAGCGAACAAGUACCGUGAGGGAAAGAUGAAAAGAACUUUGAAAAGAGAGUUAAACAGUACGUGAAAUUGUUGAAAGGGAAACGCUUGAAGUCAGUCGCGUUGGUCAGAAAUCAGCCUUACUUUUGUUUGGUGUACUUUCUGGUUGACGGGUCAGUAUCAGUUUUGACUGUUGGAUAAAGAUUAGAGGAAUGUGGCAUCUUCGGAUGUGUUAUAGCCUUUAGUUGUAUACAACAGUUGGGACUGAGGAACUCAGCACGCCGCAAGGCCGGGUCUUUGACCACGUCCGUGCUUAGGAUACUGGCAUAAUGGCUUUAAUCGACCCGUCUUGAAACACGG